rnacentral:rRNA from 1 species
CAAUACUUCCGCCGGCGACCGGCGCACGGGUGAGUAACACGUAUGGAACCUGCCCGUAGCAGGGGGAUAAGCGGAAGAAAUUCCGUCUAAUACCGCGUAAUAACUCCGAGAGGCAUCUCAUGGAGUUUAAAGGGUAACACCGGCUACGGAUGGCCAUGCGGCGCAUUAGCUAGUUGGCGGGGUAACGGCCCACCAAGGCGACGAUGCGUAGGGGUUCUGAGAGGAAGGUCCCCCACACUGGUACUGAGACACGGACCAGACUCCUACGGGAGGCAGCAGUGAGGAAUAUUGGUCAAUGGGCGCGAGCCUGAACCAGCCAAAUCGCGUGAGGGAAGACGGUCCUAUGGAUUGUAAACCUCUUUUGUCGGGGAGCAAAAGACGCCACGUGUGGCGUUCCGAGAGUACCCGAAGAAAAAGCAUCGGCUAACUCCGUGCCAGCAGCCGCGGUAAUACGGAGGAUGCGAGCGUUAUCCGGAUUUA